CGCGGCCUAUCAGCUUGUUGGUGGGGUAAUGGCCCACCAAGGCGACGACGGGUAGCCGGCCUGAGAGGGCGACCGGCCACACUGGGACUGAGACACGGCCCAGACUCCUACGGGAGGCAGCAGUGGGGAAUAUUGCGCAAUGGGCGGAAGCCUGACGCAGCGACGCCGCGUGAGGGAUGAAGGCCUUCGGGUCGUAAACCUCUUUCAGCAGGGAAGAAGCGAAAGUGACGGUACCUGCAGAAGAAGCACCGGCUAACUACGUGCCAGCAGCCGCGGUAAUACGUAGGGUGCAAGCGUUGUCCGGAAUUAUUGGGCGUAAAGAGCUCGUAGGCGGUCUGUCGCGUCUGCUGUGAAAACUCAGGGCUUAACCCUGAGCUUGCAGUGGGUACGGGCAGACUAGAGUGCGGUAGGGGAGACUGGAAUUCCUGGUGUAGCGGUGAAAUGCGCAGAUAUCAGGAGGAACACCGGUGGCGAAGGCGGGUCUCUGGGCCGUAACUGACGCUGAGGAGCGAAAGCAUGGGGAGCGAACAGGAUUAGAUACCCUGGUAGUCCAUGCCGUAAACGUUGGGCGCUAGGUGUGGGGACCUUUCCAUGGUUUCCGUGCCGCAGCUAACGCAUUAAGCGCCCCGCCUGGGGAGUACGG
rnacentral:rRNA from 1 species